rnacentral:rRNA from 1 species
AACUCUGACACAGGUGCUGCAUGGCUGUCGUCAGCUCGUGUCGUGAGAUGUUGGGUUAAGUCCCGUAACGAGCGCAACCCUUGUCUUUAGUCGCCAGCAGUUCGGCUGGGCACUCUAAAGGGACUGCCGGUGUUAAACGGAGGAAGGUGGGGAGUGACGUCAAGUCCUCAUGGCCUUUAUGACCAGGGCUACACACGUACUACAAUGGCCGAUACAAAGGGCAGCGACACUGCGAGGUGAAGCCAAUCCCGUAAAAUCGGUCUCAGUCCGGAUUGGAGUCUGCAACUCGACUCCAUGAAGUUGGAAUCGCUAGUAAUCGUGGAUCAGCAUGCCACGGUGAAUACGUUCCCGGGCCUU